GGGUUGUGAGGUUAAGCGACUAAGCGUACACGGUGGAUGCCCUGGCAGUCAGAGGCGAUGAAGGACGUGCUAAUCUGCGAUAAGCGUCGGUAAGGUGAUAUGAACCGUUAUAACCGGCGAUUUCCGAAUGGGGAAACCCAGUGUGAUUCGUCACACUAUCAUUAACUGAAUCCAUAGGUUAAUGAGGCGAACCGGGGGAACUGAAACAUCUAAGUACCCCGAGGAAAAGAAAUCAACCGAGAUUCCCCCAGUAGCGGCGAGCGAACGGGGAGGAGCCCAGAGCCUGAAUCAGUGUGUGUGUUAGUGGAAGCGUCUGGAAAGGCGCGCGAUACAGGGUGACAGCCCCGUACACAAAAAUGCACAUGCUGUGAGCUCGAUGAGUAGGGCGGGACACGUGGUAUCCUGUCUGAAUAUGGGGGGACCAUCCUCCAAGGCUAAAUACUCCUGACUGACCGAUAGUGAACCAGUACCGUGAGGGAAAGGCGAAAAGAACCCCGGCGAGGGGAGUGAAAAAGAACCUGAAACCGUGUACGUACAAGCAGUGGGAGCACAGAGCAAUCUGUGUGACUGCGUACCUUUUGUAUAAUGGGUCAGCGACUUAUAUUCUGUAGCAAGGUUAACCGAAUAGGGGAGCCGAAGGGAAACCGAGUCUUAACUGGGCGUUAAGUUGCAGGGUAUAGACCCGAAACCCGGUGAUCUAGCCAUGGGCAGGUUGAAGGUUGGGUAACACUAACUGGAGGACCGAACCGACUAAUGUUGAAAAAUUAGCGGAUGACUUGUGGCUGGGGGUGAAAGGCCAAUCAAACCGGGAGAUAGCUGGUUCUCCCCGAAAGCUAUUUAGGUAGCGCCUCGUGAAUUCAUCUCCGGGGGUAGAGCACUGUUUCGGCAAGGGGGUCAUCCCGACUUACCAACCCGAUGCAAACUGCGAAUACCGGAGAAUGUUAUCACGGGAGACACACGGCGGGUGCUAACGUCCGUCGUGAAGAGGGAAACAACCCAGACCGCCAGCUAAGGUCCCAAAGUCAUGGUUAAGUGGGAAACGAUGUGGGAAGGCCCAGACAGCCAGGAUGUUGGCUUAGAAGCAGCCAUCAUUUAAAGAAAGCGUAAUAGCUCACUGGUCGAGUCGGCCUGCGCGGAAGAUGUAACGGGGCUAAACCAUGCACCGAAGCUGCGGCAGCGACACUAUGUGUUGUUGGGUAGGGGAGCGUUCUGUAAGCCUGCGAAGGUGUGCUGUGAGGCAUGCUGGAGGUAUCAGAAGUGCGAAUGCUGACAUAAGUAACGAUAAAGCGGGUGAAAAGCCCGCUCGCCGGAAGACCAAGGGUUCCUGUCCAACGUUAAUCGGGGCAGGGUGAGUCGACCCCUAAGGCGAGGCCGAAAGGCGUAGUCGAUGGGAAACAGGUUAAUAUUCCUGUACUUGGUGUUACUGCGAAGGGGGGACGGAGAAGGCUAUGUUGGCCGGGCGACGGUUGUCCCGGUUUAAGCGUGUAGGCUGGUUUUCCAGGCAAAUCCGGAAAAUCAAGGCUGAGGCGUGAUGACGAGGCACUACGGUGCUGAAGCAACAAAUGCCCUGCUUCCAGGAAAAGCCUCUAAGCAUCAGGUAACAUCAAAUCGUACCCCAAACCGACACAGGUGGUCAGGUAGAGAAUACCAAGGCGCUUGAGAGAACUCGGGUGAAGGAACUAGGCAAAAUGGUGCCGUAACUUCGGGAGAAGGCACGCUGAUAUGUAGGUGAAGUCCCUCGCGGAUGGAGCUGAAAUCAGUCGAAGAUACCAGCUGGCUGCAACUGUUUAUUAAAAACACAGCACUGUGCAAACACGAAAGUGGACGUAUACGGUGUGACGCCUGCCCGGUGCCGGAAGGUUAAUUGAUGGGGUUAGCGCAAGCGAAGCUCUUGAUCGAAGCCCCGGUAAACGGCGGCCGUAACUAUAACGGUCCUAAGGUAGCGAAAUUCCUUGUCGGGUAAGUUCCGACCUGCACGAAUGGCGUAAUGAUGGCCAGGCUGUCUCCACCCGAGACUCAGUGAAAUUGAACUCGCUGUGAAGAUGCAGUGUACCCGCGGCAAGACGGAAAGACCCCGUGAACCUUUACUAUAGCUUGACACUGAACAUUGAGCCUUGAUGUGUAGGAUAGGUGGGAGGCUUUGAAGUGUGGACGCCAGUCUGCAUGGAGCCGACCUUGAAAUACCACCCUUUAAUGUUUGAUGUUCUAACGUUGACCCGUAAUCCGGGUUGCGGACAGUGUCUGGUGGGUAGUUUGACUGGGGCGGUCUCCUCCUAAAGAGUAACGGAGGAGCACGAAGGUUGGCUAAUCCUGGUCGGACAUCAGGAGGUUAGUGCAAUGGCAUAAGCCAGCUUGACUGCGAGCGUGACGGCGCGAGCAGGUGCGAAAGCAGGUCAUAGUGAUCCGGUGGUUCUGAAUGGAAGGGCCAUCGCUCAACGGAUAAAAGGUACUCCGGGGAUAACAGGCUGAUACCGCCCAAGAGUUCAUAUCGACGGCGGUGUUUGGCACCUCGAUGUCGGCUCAUCACAUCCUGGGGCUGAAGUAGGUCCCAAGGGUAUGGCUGUUCGCCAUUUAAAGUGGUACGCGAGCUGGGUUUAGAACGUCGUGAGACAGUUCGGUCCCUAUCUGCCGUGGGCGCUGGAGAAUUGAGGGGGGCUGCUCCUAGUACGAGAGGACCGGAGUGGACGCAUCACUGGUGUUCGGGUUGUCAUGCCAAUGGCACUGCCCGGUAGCUAAAUGCGGAAGAGAUAAGUGCUGAAAGCAUCUAAGCACGAAACUUGCCCCGAGAUGAGUUCUCCCUGACUCCUUGAGAGUCCUGAAGGAACGUUGAAGACGACGACGUUGAUAGGCCGGGUGUGUAAGCGCAGCGAUGCGUUGAGCUAACCGGUACUAAUGAACCGUGAGGCUUAACCUUACAACGCCGAAGGUGUUU
rnacentral:rRNA from 1 species